rnacentral:rRNA from 1 species
AUUGAACGCUGGCGGCAGGCCUAACACAUGCAAGUCGAGCGGUAACAGGAGAAAGCUUGCUUUCUUGCUGACGAGCGGCGGACGGGUGAGUAAUGUAUGGGGAUCUGCCCGAUAGAGGGGGAUAACUACUGGAAACGGUAGCUAAUACCGCAUGACGUCUACGGACCAAAGCAGGGGCUCUUCGGACCUUGCGCUAUCGGAUGAACCCAUAUGGGAUUAGCUAGUAGGUGAGGUAAUGGCUCACCAAGGCGACGAUCAGUAGCCGGACUGAGAGGUUGACCGGCCACAUUGGGACUGAGAUACGGCCCAG